rnacentral:misc_RNA from 1 species
UAUCGACUCCAAUUCGGUGGCGAACAGAUUCUCUCAGAUAAGUCCUCAGUCGAGAUGAUGGCAUUCCUGGACACCGUCUCGGGACACGGAGUAGGACUGCUCGCGAUUCCAAACGAAGCCUCUCGAUCAACACCGGGUAUUCGUUGCGCAGAGCAGUCGGGAAGAACGCGAGGCGUGCGCGUCGUCUACCGCCG